GGCCGUGUGGUCUAGUGGUUAUGAUUUCUGUCUUACACACAGAAGGUCCCCUGUUCGAGCCAGGGUACGGUCA
rfam:Sistotremastrum suecicum HHB10207 ss-3 unplaced genomic scaffold SISSTscaffold_17, whole genome shotgun sequence.